GCCUGAUGCAGCGACGCCGCGUGAGGGAUGACGGCCUUCGGGUUGUAAACCUCUUUCAGCAGGGACGAAGCGAAAGUGACGGUACCUGCAGAAGAAGCACCGGCCAACUACGUGCCAGCAGCCGCGGUAAUACGUAGGGUGCGAGCGUUGUCCGGAAUUACUGGGCGUAAAGAGCUCGUAGGCGGUUUGUCGCGUCGUCUGUGAAAACCAGCAGCUCAACUGCUGGCUUGCAGGCGAUACGGGCAGACUUGAGUACUGCAGGGGAGACUGGAAUUCCUGGUGUAGCGGUGAAAUGCGCAGAUAUCAGGAGGAACACCGGUGGCGAAGGCGGGUCUCUGGGCAGUAACUGACGCUGAGGAGCGAAAGCGUGGGUAGCGAACAGGAUUAGAUACCCUGGUAGUCCACGCCGUAAACGGUGGGCGCUAGGUGUGGGUUUCCUUCCACGGGAUCCGUGCCGUAGCUAACGCAUUAAGCGCCCCGCCGGGGGAGUACGGCCGCAAGGCUAAAACUCAAAGGAAUUGACGGGGGCCCGCACAAGCGGCGGAGCAGGUGGAUUAAUUCGAUGCAACGCGAAAAACCUUACCUGGGUUUGACAUAUACCGGAAAGCCGUAAAGAUACGGCCCCCCUUGUG
rnacentral:rRNA from 1 species